UUUUUUUUAUGAAAACGCCGUAAAAGACCAAUAAUUUUUUAUUACCCGCCUAUUAUUCCCUCUUCUUCCCAUCUCUGUCGCGUGCCCUAAAUCCCCAAAGUAAAAGUUUGUACUUAAUUCUUUUUCCUUUUACUCUGAAAAUUUGCCCCCAAAUUUCCCAUUUCCAACAACACCAAAUGUCUGAGGACGACGAGAGGCAGCAAUCUCUGCCGUCGGAUCUUGAGUUCGUUGUAAUGGCUUUUGCUUUUUUUUCCGACGCUUGAUGGCCUUCUUCUCUGAAUCUGAAUUGUCUUUGGAAACUUGGAAUCAUUCUUCUCGCGCAUGCUGCAUCGAAUGGGCCAAGUUCUACCAGAGGCAACUGCAGUCUUCCUGAUUAAACUCUUGUGAAGAACUAGACCCUGAUAGGACAACUGAUUUGAAAUCCAAGUUCAAGCAAUACCUAAAUGUUGGACCGUUCAUCCUUGCAACACAACCACCAUCCGCUUCAGAUCCAUAUGGUUGCCUGACAUGGCUCGACAAGCAAAAACCUGCAACCGUGGUGUAUAUCAGCUUUGGAUCAGUUGUGACCCCACCUCCAAAUGAACUUGUUGCACUAGCAGAAGCAGUAGAGGCUAGCCAGGUUCCUUUUAUAUGGUCUCUUAGAGAUAAAUCAAAGUUUGGGGUGGAAUUGAGCAAAGGCUUCAGAACUGUGAUUUUGAGUUGAGUUAUGCAUUGGCUUUCUCAAACGUUCUCGCCAGCAAAAGGAAAUUACAAGGGAACAAGCAGUUCAAGAUCUGACGUUUGUUGAGAAGGAUUAUAAGUUAGCUGAUACGGUUAUUAGAGGGUUGUUGAAGUAUUGGCCUUUGACUAAUUGUCAGAAGGAAGUUCUCUUCCUCGGGGAACUUGAGGAAGUACUUGAAGCAACACAGUCUGUGGAGUUCCAACGAUGUAUGGUUCCGCUUUUCAGACAGAUUGCACUUUGCCUCAAUAGCUUACAUUUCCAGAUCUAGGAGGCUUCUUUCAGCUGCCCAUCAUGGUUUUCAUCUGGUCCUAGGAAUUUGAUUAAGCGUAUUCUUGAUCCAAACCCUCUUACCGUAUAACUAUUCCUGAAAUUCUACAAGAUGAAUGGUUCAAGAAAGGGUACAAGCCACCAAAAUUUGAGCAAGAUGAGGAUGUAAAUCUUGAUGAUAAUAUCUUAUAUUUUACAUGGUUAUGAUUUAAGUCCUUAUUUCGUUGAUAUCUUUAUAUUUAAUCUAAUUUUUAUUAUUUAUUUUA